GACGAACGCUGGCGGCGUGCUUAACACAUGCAAGUCGAACGAAAAGACGGAAAGAGCUUGCUCUUUUCAGAAUUGAGUGGCAAACGGGUGAGUAACACGUAAACAACCUGCCUUCAGGAUGGGGACAACAGACGGAAACGACUGCUAAUACCGAAUAAGUUCCAAGGGCCGCAUGGCCCAUGGAAGAAAAGGUGGCCUCUACCUGUAAGCUAUCGCCUGAAGAGGGGUUUGCGUCUGAUUAGCUGGUUGGAGGGGUAACGGCCCACCAAGGCGACGAUCAGUAGCCGGUCUGAGAGGAUGAACGGCCACACUGGAACUGAGACACGGUCCAGACUCCUACGGGAGGCAGCAGUGGGGAAUCUUCCGCAAUGGGCGAAAGCCUGACGGAGCAACGCCGCGUGAGUGAUGACGGCCUUCGGGUUGUAAAACUCUGUGAUCCGGGACGAAAAGGCAGAGUGCGAAGAACAAACUGCAUUGACGGUACCGGAAAAGCAAGCCACGGCUA
rnacentral:rRNA from 1 species